GAACGCUGGCGGCAGGCUUAACACAUGCAAGUCGAGCGGUAACAUUUCUAGCUUGCUAGAAGAUGACGAGCGGCGGACGGGUGAGUGACGCGUAGGAAUCUGCCUAGUAGUGGGGGACAACAUGUGGAAACGCAUGCUAAUACCGCAUACGCCCUACGGGGGAAAGGAGGGGAUCUUCGGACCUUUCGCUAUUAGAUGAGCCUGCGUGAGAUUAGCUAGUUGGUGGGGUAAAGGCCUACCAAGGCGACGAUCUCUAGCUGGUCUGAGAGGAUGAUCAGCCACACUGGGACUGAGACACGGCCCAGACUCCUACGGGAGGCAGCAGUGGGGAAUAUUGGACAAUGGGCGCAAGCCUGAUCCAGCCAUGCCGCGUGUGUGAAGAAGGCCUUAGGGUUGUAAAGCACUUUCAGGAGUGAGGAAGGGUAUGCAGUUAAUACCUGUAUAUUUUGACGUUAACUCCAGAAGAAGCACCGGCUAACUCUGUGCCAGCAGCCGCGGUAAUACAGAGGGUGCGAGCGUUAAUCGGAAUUACUGGGCGUAAAGCGCGCGUANGCGGUUUGUUAAGUCGGAUGUGAAAUCCCAGGGCUCAACCUUGGAAUGGCACCCGAUACUGGCA
rnacentral:rRNA from 1 species